rfam:Medicago truncatula strain A17 chromosome 7, whole genome shotgun sequence.
UGUUGAAUGAUGAAAAAAUUGACGGAUUAUUACUGAUAUUAUUCAUAUAUGAUAAUCUUAAUCAGCUACUUCUGACUACA